rnacentral:rRNA from 1 species
GGGAGGCAGCAGUGGGGAAUCUUCCGCAAUGGACGAAAGUCUGACGGAGCGACGCCGCGUGAGUGAUGAGGGCCCUUGGGUCGUAAAGCUCUGUCAUUGGGGACGAACGACCGCCUCAGGAAAUGGGGGCGGAGUGACGGUACCCAAGAAGGAAGCCACGGCUAACUACGUGCCAGCAGCCGCGGUAAUACGUAGGUGGCAAGCGUUGUCCGGAAUUAUUGGGCGUAAAGCGCGCGCAGGUGGGAUCUUAAGUCCAUUUUGAAAGUUCGGAGCUCAACUCCGUGAUGGGAUGGAAACUGGGAUUCUUGAGUAUCGGAGAGGAAAGCGGAAUUCCCCGUGUAGCGGUGAAAUGCGUAGAUAUGGGGAGGAACACCAGUGGCGAAGGCGGCUUUCUGGACGAUGUCUGACACUGAGGCGCGAAAGCCAGGGGAGCGAACGGGAUUAGAUACCCCUGUAGUCCC